AAGGAUCAUUAUUGAAUAAACCGAUGGGUUGUUGCUGGCUUUUAGGAGCAUGUGCACGCCUGUCGCCUUUAUCCAUCCACCUGUGCACCUUUUGUAGACUUGGAGGUGAUGAGCGUGAUAUUGUCGCGCGAGUCUCUCUGGGUCUAUGUCUUUCAUAUACCACGUAGAAUGUAUCUAGAACGUCUCAUUGGGCCUAUGUGCCUAUAAAACACUAUACAACUUUCAGCAACGGAUCUCUUGGCUCUC
rnacentral:misc_RNA from 1 species